GGUCGUCCUCAGAUCUUCACGUGGUUAGAGCGUCCGCCUAGGAUGCAGAAGGUCGUGGGUUCAAUCCCCGGUCGAGUCA